rnacentral:rRNA from 1 species
AGCAGUAGCCGCGGGAAUACGUAUGUCACAAGCGUUAUCCGGAUUUAUUGGGCGUAAAGCGCGUCUAGGUGGUUAUGUAAGUCUGAUGUGAAAAUGCAGGGCUCAACUCUGUAUUGCGUUGGAAACUGUGUAACUAGAGUACUGGAGAGGUAAGCGGAACUACAAGUGUAGAGGUGAAAUUCGUAGAUAUUUGUAGGAAUGCCGAUGGGGAAGCCAGCUUACUGGACAGAUACUGACGCUAAAGCGCGAAAGCGUGGGUAGCAAACAGGAUUAGAUACCCCCGUAGUCCCUGUCUCUUAUACA